rnacentral:rRNA from 1 species
GAUGGACGCUGGCGGCGUGCCUAAUACAUGCAAGUCGAACGCUUCACUUCGGUGAAGAGUGGCGAACGGGUGAGUAAUACAUAAGUAACCUGGCAUCUACAGGGGGAUAACUGAUGGAAACGUCAGCUAAGACCGCAUAGGUGUAGAGAUCGCAUGAACUCUAUAUGAAAAGUGCUACGGGACUGGUAGAUGAUGGACUUAUGGCGCAUUAGCUGGUUGGUAGGGUAACGGCCUACAAAGGCGACGAUGCGUAGCCGACCUGAGAGGGUGACCGGCCAGACUGGGACGGAGACACGGCCCAGAGUCCUACGGGAGGAAGCAGUAGGGAAUUUUCGGCAAUGGGGGGAAGCCUGACCGAGCAACGCCGCGUGAAGGAAGAAGUAAUUCGUUAUGUAAACUUCUGUCAUAGAGGAAGAACGAUGGAUAUAGGGAAUGAUAUCCAAGUGACGGUACUCUAUAAGAAAGCCACGGCUAACUACGUGCCAGCCGCCGCGGUAA